AUUGAACGCUGGCGGCAUGCCUUACACAUGCAAGUCGAACGGCAGCAUGGGGGCAACCCUGGUGGUGAGUGGCGAACGGGUGAGUAAUGCAUCGGAACGUGUCCUCUUGUGGGGGAUAACCAGUCGAAAGAUUGGCUAAUACCGCAUGAGAUCGAGAGAUGAAAGCGGGGGACCGCAAGGCCUCGCGCGAGAGGAGCGGCCGAUGCCGGAUUAGCAGUUGGUGGGGUAAAGCCUACCAAGGCGACGAUCCGUAGCUGGUCUGAGAGGACGACCAGCCACACUGGGACUGAGACACGGCCCAGACUCCUACGGGAGGCAGC
rnacentral:rRNA from 1 species